rnacentral:misc_RNA from 1 species
GGCCGUCCUAUUUCCUUUUAUUUUGGCGUUCCAUAACCAAACUUUACUACUGGGAAGAUUAGAGGGAGUAUACACAUUUGGACAACCUCGGGUUGGAGACCGAAAAUUCGGAGAGUUUAUGUUGAAAACAUUCUCACAUUACAAGAUUCGUUACCACAGAUUCGUUUAUGGUUUUGAUAUGGUCCCUAGAUUGCCUCUUGACGACAAGGCCUUGAUGUUCAAACACUUUGGGCACUGUAUUUAUUUCAAUUUAAACUAUGAUGGGAAGAUUCUUGAAGAAGAGCCAUUCAAGAACUAUUUCUCGAUAGUGGGAGAAGUAGUGAUGAGAAUACAAGCAUGUUUGGAGAUAGGGAGAAGCUUCACAAUUGGAUGGAGAAGGGGAAAGGAGUAUGAGGAAAGAGUGCUUUUGAGGCUUGUGAGGUUGUUUGGAUUAUUAUUGCCUGGAAUUCCUGCUCAUUGCCCUCAAGAUUAUGUUAAUUCAACUCGCUUGGCUUCCACACAUAUCAUCUUUUCUCCUCCCAAAACCGAG